UCAUAAACUCGAUCUCUCUCUCUGGCGGCAUCGUCGUCAACUCGGGGGGAAACACAUCCGAAAACUAACGGACUAUACGGAUAUCCUCGAGUCUCGGCGCCGCCGUAGGCACCUCUACAACUGUCGCCAAAAACGCAACACAUCCUUUACUCAUUAGCUGUCGAGCCCUCGCCGAAGAAAUCCAAGUGGCAAACAAUGUACUCCUGC
rnacentral:lncRNA from 1 species